AGCCUUUUCAUCCUCACCAUGGCCUGGGCCCUGUAUCUCCUCACAGUUCUCAGUUACUACUCAGGUGUCAGUUCACAGCCUUGGACUCAGCCUGCCUCAGAAUCUGUGUCCUUGGGACAAACGGGAAAACUCUCUUGCACCACCGACAGUGGAAGUUACGCCAUUCAUUGGUACCAACAGAAGCCUGGCCAGGCCCCUCGCUUUGUACACUGUCAGGGUUGCAGCAGGGGAGAAGGGAUCCCGGAUCGAUUCACGGCUUCUGUCUCUGGGAUCACUGGCCAUUUAACCAUCACCGGUACCCAGCCUGAAGAUGAGGCAGAUUACUUCUGUGCUAAAUGGAACAGCGGUGGUAGCCAGAUCCACAGUGGUAAAAGCGAAUGA